GACGAACGCUGGCGGCGUGCUUAACACAUGCAAGUCGAACGGUAAGGCCCUUCGGGGUACACGAGUGGCGAACGGGUGAGUAACACGUGGGUGAUCUGCCCUGCACUUCGGGAUAAGCCUGGGAAACUGGGUCUAAUACCGGAUAGGACUCCGGACUGCAUGGUCUGGGGUGGAAAGCUUUUGCGGUGUGGGUUGGGCCCGCGGCCUAUCAGCUUGUUGGUGGGGUGAUGGCCUACCAAGGCGACGACGGGUAGCCGGACUGAGUGGGUGACCGGCCACACUGGGACUGUGAAACGGCCCAGACUCCUACGGGAAGCAGCAGUGGGGAAUAUUGCACAAUGGGCGCAAGCCUGAUGCAGCGACGCCGCGUGAGGGAUGACGGCCUUCGGGUUGUAAACCUCUUUCAGCAUCGACGAAGCGAAAGUGACGGUAGGUGCAGAAGAAGGACCGGCCAACUACGUGCCAGCCGCCGCUGUAA
rnacentral:rRNA from 1 species